GUAUAGAUAGCUCAGUGGCAGAGCGUGUGCUUAGCAUGCACAAGGUCCUGGGUUCAAUCCUCAAUAUCUCCA
rnacentral:tRNA from 1 species